rnacentral:tRNA from 1 species
CCGAAAUCGGUAGACGCUACGGACUUGAAAAUCCGUUGGCUUUAUUGACCGUGAGGGUUCAAGUCCCUCUACCCCCA